rnacentral:rRNA from 1 species
AUACGUAGGGUGCGAGCGUUGUCCGGAAUUACUGGGCGUAAAGAGCUCGUAGGCGGUUUGUCACGUCGGCUGUGAAAACCCAUCGCUCAACGGUGGGCUUGCAGUCGAUACGGGCUGACUUGAGUACUGCAGGGGAGACUGGAAUUCCUGGUGUAGCGGUGAAAUGCGCAGAUAUCAGGAGGAACACCGGUGGCGAAGGCGGGUCUCUGGGCAGUAACUGACGCUGAGGAGCGAAAGCGUGGGUAGCGAACAGGAUUAGAUACCCUGGUAGUCCACGCCGUAAACGGUGGGUGCUAGGUGUGGGCUUCCUUCCACGGGAUCCGUGCCGUAGCUAACGCAUUAAGCACCCCGCCUGGGGAGUACGGCCGCAAGGCUAAA